GGUAAACCAGGUGUUCACAGGUAAACCUGGUGUUCACAGGUAAACCUGGUGUUCACAGGUAAACCUGGUGUUCACAGGUAAACCAGGUGUUCAUAGUUGGUAAACCAGGUGUUCAUAGUUGGUAAACCGGGUGUUCACAGGUACACCGGGUGUUCACAGGUAAACCUGGUGUUCACAGGUAAACCGGGUGUUCACAGGUAAACCAGGUGUUCACAGGUAAACCAGGUGUUCACAGGUAAACCGGGUGUUCACAGGUAAACCGGGUGUUCACAGGUAAACCGGGUGUUCUCACAGCAGGAGGUGAAAAAUAAAAAGGUUGUUUAUGAAUGAGUGAUUUUUAUUUUGAGCGUUAUUUGAAUCUGUUCGAUGAUGAAAUGUGUUUUUGUUUUGAUAUGAAGAGAAAAGAGAGAUUCUGUUCGAACCAAUAAAGUGUUCCUCAAAUA